UACGUAGGGUGCAAGCGUUGUCCGGAAUUACUGGGCGUAAAGCGUGCGCAGGCGGUGAUGUAAGACAGGGGUGAAAUCCCCGGGCUUAACCUGGGAACUGCAUUUGUGACUGCAUCGCUGGAGUGCGGCAGAGGGGGAUGGAAUUCCGCGUGUAGCAGUGAAAUGCGUAGAUAUGCGGAGGAACACCGAUGGCGAAGGCAAUCCCCUGGGCCUGCACUGACGCUCAUGCACGAAAGCGUGGGGAGCAAACAGG
rnacentral:rRNA from 1 species